UAUGAAUGAAUUAAGCGAGAGUCGGGAGAUGAAGCAGAGUUAUUAGAUUUGGUGGAAAGAGGAGAAAUCAAAGUCAGGGAUGGGAAUAAAAGCAACAGAGACUUUGCUUGUACAAAACCAGCCCAGCACAAGGAAGUUAUCAGCAGCGGUGGACAUAGCCAGAGGAGCAAGGACAGUCAGAAAACCUGCUGGUCAAGUGGCAGCCCGGCUGUACCUCCUAGCUUACGUCCUUUUUGGGUAAUGAAAGAAGCUACAGUUUCUUAAAGGAAGGACAGAGGAACAUCCUCUUCAGACUGACACAAAAAGGGUUAAAGGUAAGACUUAACAGCCACCUGACUUAACUUUUAUCAUCCCACCUGUGGAAGCAGAUUACUGUCGUUAAAGAAGAUCAUUUGUGUGUGUCCUCUAGGAGGGUGUAGACUCCUUUGAUAAUAAGGAUAAGCUGAUGCCGAGAUAAGCAGAGGGGCUCUGCUGGUUACUUCUUAUUUAUUGUAUCUUUU
rnacentral:lncRNA from 1 species